rnacentral:rRNA from 1 species
GACGAACGCUGGCGGCGUGCCUAAUACAUGCAAGUUGAGCGCUGAAGGUUGGUACUUGUACCAACUGGAUGAGCAGCGAACGGGUGAGUAACGCGUGGGGAAUCUGCCUUUGAGCGGGGGACAACAUUUGGAAACGAAUGCUAAUACCGCAUAAAAACUUUAAACACAAGUUUUAAGUUUGAAAGAUGCAAUUGCAUCACUCAAAGAUGAUCCCGCGUUGUAUUAGCUAGUUGGUGAGGUAAAGGCUCACCAAGGCGAUGAUACAUAGCCGACCUGAGAGGGUGAUCGGCCACAUUGGGACUGAGACACGGCCCAAACUCCUACGGGAGGCAGCAGUAGGGAAUCUUCGGCAAUGGACGAAAGUCUGACCGAGCAACGCCGCGUGAGUGAAGAAGGUUGUCGGAUCGUAAAACUCUGUUGGUAGAGAAGAACGUUGGUGAGAGUGGAAAGCUCAUCAAGUGACGGUAACUACCGAGAAAGGGACGGCUAACUACGUG